CUACGUAGUUCUUGCUCGUCUGUUGUGGUCAAAUCUUGGAGAUGAGAUCUGAACCAGUUUCCAGUGCGAGUUAGAUUAGAGCUCCUUUUUAAGUUUACGAGUACGAUUUUUUGAAAGAUACUAUUUAACAAGCUUUUAUUUAACUUGCCCUGUUACUAUGUAGGUGUGUAUGUUAUUUUGUUUUGUUGACCAUUUUCCCGAAUUCCGAUUGAGCUCAAAUUUGCACACGUAUAUAAAUCGGAUGACAAUGUAAUAUUAUUAUGACAUGAAGCUAUAGCUGGAGACUGUACCCCUAGUGUAAAUAAAUUCGAUUUCGAAACGUGACGUACGCGUUUGCGUUUAGCCUCAUUUUGUAUUGGAUUUAGAAAGAGCGCGCCAAGCGGGACGUUUUGGAAACUCAAAAUCCUAUACAAAAUGAGACUUAACGCAAACGCGUUCGUCACGUUAUGAUGUCGAUCAAAUUUAAACUAGGGGUACAGGAGGCACUCUGCAUUCUGUGAUAAAAGAUAAAACAACGCAAACUAAUUGUGUUUGGGGUUUUUAGAAUUAUCACAAUGAUUAAUAGUUGCCUGUAAAAGAAAAGUACAGUCAGCAAUAAAAGCUUGUACCAAAAAUAUUUUUUUGCUUAAAACUUAUUAGUUCAAACCACCCACAGUUGAAGAAAAGACAAGUCACGCAUAACUUUAUCGAAAAUUAUAAGAAUAAGUUACAAAUAUUUUUGGCAGUAACUUAUUUCUAAAUAUGUUUAAGCAGGCUGCGUCAGAACAAAUAAGGAUGUACGCAAAACCAUAAAAAUGUAUGAAACCUUUGAAGUUGUGCAACAUUUGGACCGAACGUGCGCCGGGUCUUUAGCGCUGUUUAAACUACUUUGAACAUUGAAGGAGACCGUGGGAAAUAUAUUUGAUCUUGCCCUUGUUGACCUCUUGGACUACGUUUUGGACUUGAGCAAGGACCUUUCAUUCAAGUUGGAUAUAUCGUCAGCCGUUUUGUUGACGCACAAUAUGAUAAGAUGCGAUAAGGAAAAUUUAUUAGCACAAAAAUAACAUAAUAUUUUACACAAAUGAAUUAAAGGAAUAGAAAAGUAUGCUAAUAUGUCUUCACACACUACGUGACGCUGAUUUUCAGUGAAGCCUGGUAAGAUUAAAACUAAAACUGGAAUUAGUUGGCAUUAAUAUCCAAGAAAACAACAACAUAGUAAAUAUGUGUUAUGAUGACCGGUCUGGCCUGCCUAUGAAGCCGAUGGUCCCGGGUUCAAAUACUGGUAAGGGCAUUUAUUCGUGUGAUGAGCAUGGAUAUUUGUUCCUGAGUCAUGGGUGUUUUCUAUGUAUUUAAGUAUUUAUAAAUAUUUAUAUAU